rnacentral:rRNA from 1 species
GACGAACGCUGGCGGCGUGCUUAACACAUGCAAGUCGAACGGAAAGGCCCUGCUUUUGUGUCGUGCUUGAUUGGCGAACGGGUGAGUAACACGUGAGUAACCUGCCCUUGACUUUGUGAUAACUUCAGGAAACUCGGGCUAAUACCCGAUAGGAUCUCCUGCUGCGUGGUGGGCGUUGGAAAGUUUCGGCGGUUGGGGAUGGACUCGCGGGUUAUCAGCUUGUUGGUGUGGUAGUGGCUUACCAAGGCUUUGACGGGUAGCCGGCCUGAGAGGGUGACCGGGGACAUUGGGACUGAGAUACGGACCAGAAUCGUACGGGACGCAGCAGUGGGGAAUAUUGCGCAAUGGGGGGAAGCCUGAUGCAGAAACCCCGCGAGCGGGAUAACGGCCUUCGGGUGGUAAACCGCUUUGGCAUGUGACGAAGCGUGAGUGACGGUAAUGGGUAAAGAAGCACCGGCUAACUACGUG